rnacentral:lncRNA from 10 species
GAAGGUUUCUCAUGGCUCAUAAAGUCCAAAUUGGGAAUCUUGGUUUUUGAAUAUUAAUACUAUCUGUAGGCAAGAAAUACUGCAACAAUUUCAGAAAAUAAAAUGUAGGGAGUGCAGAACUUUCAAAUAUUUAACUAAAUGGGAAGAUUUCCUGGCUCUUAAACACCCGUAUACGGAAAGUAGAGCAACUUCUUGGUACCCUCAUUUUAGUAUUUCUCAAGGAGACUGAAAUACAAUGUGAUUAUAUAUAUAAUUUUUUGAGACGGAGUCUCGCUCUGUCGCCCAGGGUGGAGUGCAGUGGCGUGAUCUCGGCUCACUGCAAGCUCCACCUCCCAGGUUCUCACCAUUCUUCUGCCUCAGCCUCCCGAAUAGCUGGGACUACAGGCACAUGCCGCCACGCCCAGCUAAUUUUUUGUAUCUUUAGUACAGAUCGAGCCAGGAUGGUCUCGAUCUCCUGACCUCGUGAUCCACCUGCCUUGGCUUCUCAAAGUGCUGGGAUUACAGGUGUAAGCCACCACGCCUGGACUUUUUUUUUUUUUUUUUGAGACGGAUCCUGCCUCAGCCUCUUGAGUAGCUGGGAUUACAGAUGUCCACUACCGUAUCGGCUAAUUUUUGUAUUUUUAGUAGAGACAAGGUUUUGCCAUGUUGGGCAGGCUGGUUUUGAACUCCCAACCUCAGGUGAUCUGCCCACUUCAGCCUCCCAAAUUGCUGGGAUUACAGGCGUGAGCCACCGUGCCCAGCCACAAUGUGGUGUUUAUUAUACAGUUGGAUUGACUUAAAUACAUUCAUGGCAUUUAAAAUGAAAUUUUAAUUAUUACGAUUCCUAAAAAACAAAUGAACUAAAACUCAAUUACUUCCUUCAGAACAAAAACGUUACACUCAAAUUUCUCCCAUCAGAUCUCAUUUGGUUCAUUAAAUCUCCCUGGUGAAGAGGAUGGAUUCCAGAAACCCAGUGCCAACAAUGAAAUAUCACCCUCAUACUUGGCCCACGAGAACAUCAUAUACCAUAGUAGAGAUUUCGCCCUCCUCUUGGCCCCCGGGGGAGACUACUGUUGGCUCCUAGCACUAUCAGCUGGCUAGGAAUGUGUAUGCAACACUUCUGAAGCCUUGGAAACAUAGUACAGAAUGUACCCAUUUUAGGAUGAUUCAACUUUAUGAUUUUUCAACUUUUUGAUGGUAUAAAAGCGAUACAUAAUCAGUACAAACCAUAUACAUACCACCAUUUUUCAGUACAGUACUCAUUACAUGUGUCAACACUUUAUUAUAAGAUAGGUUUUAUGUUAGAUGAUAACACCAGCAUCUUGCUCAAUAAAUUGAAGCCAGCUUUUUCAACAGAGAACAUUAUUAGAAUGAAACUAGAUGCAAGAACAGGAAAGUAAACACCUGUGUCAUGUUCAACAAGACUGAACUACGGAGCAAAGAAUCACACAGUGUUGCAAGAUCUUGAACUGACUAGAUGAUAGGAUUACAAAAACCACACAGCUAUUGCUGGAAAAUUAUGUCAUGCAGAGAACAGACUGGCACGAUUACAUAUGUGGGUUUGUCCUACACAAACCAGACCUUUAAGUGAAACAAGUCUAUCCAACCAUCUUCCCAUAAAACCUAGUUUCUAUGGAAAACAAUCAAUUAAGCUAAACCCCCACAUUUUAGAUGUAUAUUCAUUUAUAGAAGCCCAAAAGGACAGUGGGGUUACAAAUAAUUUUAUAUUUUAGAUGCUUUCAUAAUUUAAAAAGUUAACAUUACAAUUUGUGUUACUAAAAUGCAAAAACAGGAUUGGCAUGCUGCCUCAUGCCUGUAAUCUGAACAUUUUGGGAGGCUGAGGCAGGAGGACUUGAGCCCAGGAGUUCGAGCCCAGCCUAGGGAACACAGGGAAAACCCAUCUCUACGCAAGACGUAAAAACUGGCCAGCUGUGAUGGCAUGCCCCUGUAGUCUGAGCUACUUGGGAGGCUGAGGUGGGAAGAUCGCCUUGAGCCCAGGAAAUUGAGGCUGGAGCUGUGAUGACACUAGUGCACUCCAGCCUGGGGAACAGAGUAAGACCAUCUCCCCCACUGCCCGCUACUCUCGCUACCAAAAAAACAGCAAAAGCAGGCUAGACUCCUCUAAUUUCAGGGAGAGCUAGAUGUUUUUUUUUUUCUCUUUUUUUCAGUUUUGCUCUGCCGCCCAGGCUGGAGUGCAGGAUCGUGAUCAUGGC